AGAGUUUGAUCCUGGCUCAGAUUGAACGCUGGCGGAAUGCUUUACACAUGCAAGUCGAGCGGCAGCGCGGUCUUCGGACUGGCGGCGAGCGGCGAACGGGUGAGUAAUACAUCGGAACAUGCCCAGUCGUGGGGGAUAACACUUCGAAAGAAGUGCUAAUACCGCAUACGUCCUGAGGGAGAAAGCGGGGGAUCGCAAGACCUCGCGCGAUUGGAGUGGCCGAUGUCAGAUUAGCUAGUUGGUGGGGUAAAGGCCUACCAAGGCAACGAUCUGUAGCUGGUCUGAGAGGAUGAUCAGCCACACUGGGACUGAGACACGGCCCAGACUCCUACGGGAGGCAGCAGUGGGGAAUUUUGGACAAUGGGGGCAACCCUGAUCCAGCCAUUCCGCGUGAGUGAAGAAGGCCUUCGGG
rnacentral:rRNA from 1 species